UCAUAUUUGCUCCACCACCUGUGG
rnacentral:miRNA from 1 species